CGCACGGCAGCCACCCCACCCCCCGCUCGAGACAUGGCGGCCGCGCACCGAGGCGCCCCGCGCGGCCCCCCCGUAGCGCUGGCGAGUCCCGUGGCUGUGGCGGCGCUCCCCAUCCCGGCGACCUCCCUCCCCGGGAGGCACCCCCCAGUGGCCACCCUUCCGGGCGGCGUGCAGCGGCGUGGCUAACCCGAGGUGGUGGCGCGCCCCUGGACCCCAGUGGCAGCGGCGGUGGCGGACGCGCAUCAGGUCGCGUCUCGUGGAAGCAGGCUGCCGGCACGCAAGCUGUGCGGGCGGAGCAGGGCCAGUGCGGCAAGCGGAGGCCAAGCUCGAUGCGCGGGCCGCAAUGACGCCGGAGCGGAGGCGUUGCGGGGGCACACGACCCCGGUGGUGUGGUGGCGGAUCAGCGGAUCUUGCGCUACCAAAGAUAGUGGUGGCGAGGGGACGAGUGGCAUGUGAUGAUGGACGUGCAGCGGAUGGCGCCGGCGCCGGCCACGACCCGCACGAUGGGGCACUGACAUGGUUGAUGUGUCGGCGGCCGUGCUCUUUGCAGGCCCCUCAUUGGCCAGGCACCAUCGAAGCCAGGCCGCCACAUCAAGCUACUGUCCGUCGACUGCCCUCUUCGAUUCCUGCAUCUACAGCUCGUCCCCACUCCCGAUUUGUUGGACAAAUGAGUUGAUAAUAUCUGGUUGGCAGAGGAGAUGGAAGAGGAGACUCACCGACCUACCCCAUCGAUCUUGGACCCCCCGGUGGCGUGCUCGCCUUCGCCCCUUCCUGCUCUGGCUGGGUGGCUGGUGCGCCUAGACGGCCGAUGGCGGCGUUGUUGGUGUGAGGCGCCCCAGGAUCUAGAGAUGGGAGCGACGACGCCCUGGCUAUGCAAUAUUUUUUUUCUUUUAUCACAGAUUGAAGUUUCAACGCGGAUGUGUUCCUGUGUUCUUGUUUCUAUGAUUCUAUGUAAAUGAUUCUAUGCGUGAUGUAACUUUUCUACGCAGAUGUAUUCCUGUUUCUAUGAUUUUGUGUAAAUGAUUCUAAGCAUGGUGUAACUGAUUCAAUGACAGCUUCACGGAGCAUGAGAUCUGCCACCCCACCCUGCCCCUCCCCCCGUCGGCGAUGGCCCCGCGGCAGCAUGGUGCUUUAUGAGACCAGCAGAAGCGCACACUAGGAGCCCUUGGCCGAGUUAUAAAUGAAAUUUUUGAGUGUAGCUCUAUGAUCGUCGUCUUAUAUGACAUUGUUGUUCAUGUUUCUAUGACAUUGCUCGGCCUCUACGCCAAUGUUGAUGCAUUUCUAUGCCAUUAUCCAGUUUCUGUUGAUGUGUUUAUAUGCAAUUGGUGGGUCUCUA